UCCACAUAUGGAUGGUGUGUGUGUGUACGAAAAUGCAUGCACUCACUACUGUAAGUCGCUCUGGACAAGAUAAAUGACUAAAAUGUGGCGUAAAAAAACGUGUUUGUAUAAUCCUGUCUCUCUCAUAAACUGGGCAUAGUGUCUGAGUAAGAUGUUGUCUGUAUGUGUGUUUCUCCUUCCAAGGUGGGGUGUAUCUGAGUAAGAUGUUGUCUGUAUGUGUGUUUCUCCUUCCAAGGUGGGGUGUAUCUGAGUAAGAUGUUGUCUGUAUGUGUGUUUCUCCUUCCAAGGUGGGGUGUAUCUGAGUAAGAUGUUGUCUGUAUGUGUGUUUCUCCUUCCAAGGUGGGGUGUAUCUGAGUAAGAUGUUGUCUGUAUGUGUGUUUCUCCUUCCAAGGUGGGGUGUAUCUGAGUAAGAUGUUGUCUGUAUGUGUGUUUCUCCUUACAAGGUGGGGUGUAUCUGAGUAAGAUGUUGUCUGUAUGUGUGUUUCU